GGAAUAUUGCGCAAUGGAGGAAACUCUGACGCAGUGACGCCGCGUGCAGGAUGAAGGUUUUCGGAUUGUAAACUGCUUUAGACAGGGACGAAAAAAAUGACGGUACCUGUAGAAUAAGCUCCGGCUAACUACGUGCCAGCAGCCGCGGUAAUACGUAGGGAGCGAGCGUUAUCCGGAUUUAUUGGGUGUAAAGCGUGCGUAGACGGGCAAUUAAGUUAGUUGUGAAAUCCCUCGGCUUAACUGAGGAACUGCAGCUAAAACUGGUUGUCUUGAGUAGUGGAGGGGAAGGCGGAAUUCCUAGUGUAGCGGUGAAAUGCGUAGAUAUUAGGAAGAACACCGGUGGCGAAGGCGGCCUUCUGGACAGAAACUGACGUUGAGGCACGAAAGUGUGGGGAGCAAACA
rnacentral:rRNA from 1 species